rnacentral:lncRNA from 10 species
CCGGGGAGAGCGCCCCCACCACUGAGCAGGCCCUAUUCAAUGUUCAGUCAAGUCAUCAUUUCUCAGCGGGAGGUGCGGUGCCUCGGAGUCGUUGUCGUGUUUGGAGGUUUUGACUGCGGCCUGCCAUGCUGGGAUCCACCUGGAACGGGGGUGCAUCCUUCAGGCCUCAUCCCUUCAGCCCUAAAGGGAUUCAUCAGGGUGCCCAUGGAGGGCCCCAAGGAAAGCAAGAACAGAAAUGAGUUUUGGAACUCUUAAGUCAUGUGCCUGAGGACGCCCAGCUAGCAGGUGCCUCUUGGGAUUGGAACCAAGCUUGUGCCACUGCCCCGGCUGGAGCUUCUCACACAGCGCUGCACUGCACUGCACUGCCCUGCCCCCUCUCUGGUCAUCUCUGAGAAGGAAACCAAAAGGCAGAGAGCCCUGCCCUAUUCAACCACAGGGGAGGGACUUAUGUGAAGGGCGACUCAAGUUUUUCCCAGAUCUGCAUGUCCCUGAAUGACCAUAAAAUCUCCGCAAGUAUUGAUUUCGAAGGUUACCAAUAAAUUUUAGUGAGUAGGUGAAUUCAUAAAUAUGAACUCCAUGAAUUAUGAGUUUUGACUGUGUGUGUGCGUGUGUAUAAAACAUUAUUGGACUUAUGUAUCCUUUUGAAACUUGCUUUUUUCUUUCAGUAUUAUUGUUGUGAGUUACAUCUGUGUUCAUACAUGAAAAUCUAGUCUACCUGUGCUACUGCUAUAUAGUAUGUGUAUAUUUGUAAAUUAUACACAGUUUGUGUGUCCUUUUGCCUGUGGAAGGAGAUUAAGAUGCGUCUAAAAUAAAGAUGUUUUUGGUCAUCUACAAUCCUAGAAAAUUGAUCUCCUAGGCAUCCUUUUAAAGAAAUCUGUCUGAAAGAUGUGCCCCAACAAAAUGAGGGAGUAAAUCAAGAAAAUGGAAAACAUAGAAUGCAGGAAUCAAGGGACCUCACACAGGAGAGAGGUGAAGGCAGUCCCCUGAAAGAUGGUGAGGGGAACUCUGCAGAUGGCAGCCAGGUGCAGAGGGCCCCAAGGGAAAAAAGGAGCUGAUGAACUUCUUGAUGCUUUUGACAUUGGAGAGCUUUGGGUUACUGUAGGGAAAGGCACAUAGAAAACUAAACAAGCAAAAAAGGACUUAUUAACUCCCACAAAAAUAAAAAAGGUGUAAAAGAAAUAAAAUGUCGUCAUGGUAUACUUUCUGAAUUAGAAACAAAAAACUUCAUUGUUAUGAUAAUUUAAA